rnacentral:rRNA from 1 species
GAUGAACGCUAGCGGCAGGCCUAAUACAUGCAAGUCGAACGGUAACAUGGUCAGCAAUGACUGAUGACGAGUGGCGCACGGGUGCGUAACGCGUAUGCAAUCUACCUCUUACUGGGGAAUAGCCCGGAGAAAUCCGGAUUAACACCGCAUAAUAUAUCGAGGAGGCAUCUUUUUGUAUAUUAAAUAAUUUAUAGGUAAGAGAUGAGCAUGCGCCAAUUAAGUUAGUUGGUGAGGUAACGGCUCACCAAGAC